rnacentral:misc_RNA from 1 species
GAUGAAGAACGUAGCGAAAUGCGAUAAGUAAUGUGAAUUGCAGAAUUCAGUGAAUCAUCGAAUCUUUGAACGCAUAUUGCGCUCUCUGGUAUUCCGGAGAGCAUGCUUGUUUGAGUAUCAGUAAACACCUCAACUCCCUUUUCUUUUUUGAAAUGGGAGCUGGACUUGAGUGAUCCCAACGCUUUUCUCACCGGAAAGUGGCGGGUUACUUGAAAUGCAGGUGCAGCUGGACUUUUCUCUGAGCUAUAAGCAUAUCUAUUUAGUCUGCCUAAAAACAGAUUAUUACCUUUGCUGCAGCUAACAUAAAGGAGAUUAGUUCUUGUGCUGACUGAUGCAGGAUUCACAGAGACAGCUUCGGCUGACUUUGUAAACUCGAUCUCAAAUCAAGUAAGACUACCCGCUGAACUUAAGCAUAUCAAUAAGCGGAGGA